rnacentral:lncRNA from 1 species
GAAAACAAACAAAUUUUGAUGGUUAGUCAGAAAUUGAGUCCUGAAACUCAAGGGAAUGCACGUAAAUGUAUAAACUAAAUGUAUAAACUAGAUGCAUAAAGAGAAAAACAUACCUUCUGUGACAAUUCAAGGUCUAUAGAUAUGAGUCAGGUGAUCUGGAAAGUUUUAGGUUUGAGUUGAUGAUAUAUUACAUGUACUAUGUAUAUGGUCAGACAACAUUUUCAUGGAAUCGAGCAGAAAAUCAAUGAUAUUUUGGCCUUGCUUUCUCUUCACUGUCCUGAAAGAAGAGCACAAAGAAGGUGUAUUCUGAGAGUACCUGAAAAGUUGACAUCCACUUGCGACUUGGGAGAUCUCGAACUGUCCAAGCACAUUGCCAACACUCGCAUGCAGUUGGCUAGAAAAAGUUCAUUCUUGUAAGUGCAUUGGCAUGCGUACGGAAAUUCAUGCUAAGAUGUCAUGAAAUACCUAAAUCCCGACAUUGUCAUGAGGGGAAAGCCAAAGCAUUUAGAAUUACAUUAGAGAAACAAACAAAUUAAAUCUUCAUUUCCUCUGAAGAAUGAAACUCCCUCAUCUUCUAAAUUAGACUGCACUUCUUUUACUUAAAAAUCUGCACAGAUAAUUUCCUUUACCAAUAAACAAGUUCAAGGCUGCAUUGAAGAUUAUACAGAUAUAUCAACUCUAAUCUAAUUACAACACCUGUCUGAUCUUGCAUUAGAAGGGAUAUAUAAUCGGCAAGAAAGAAGGGAAAAAAGAUUAAUAAGAUUGAUUUUCAUUUUGCUUUUUAUGAUGGAGAAGGUUAAUCUGAAUAAAAUCCCUACUCUUAUAGAUUUAAGGUUAAAACACCACAAAUUUUUUGUAUAGAAGAAUAUAAACAAAUGAUAUUUCUGAAAAAACCAUACCCAUACAAAUGAUAUUCCCUUAAAAAAAUUAUGAAGAUUGAUAUUACCAAAUUCCUGCAAUAAUUGCUAUAAGCACUGAAAUUUACCAAUUCAUUGUAACAUGAAAGAAAAGAAUAAAAAGAGAGAAGGAAUUAAGAGGGAUAUUGGCACGGCUCAAUCAGAUUAAAGGACCCAAACCUUGGGAGAUUUGAUUUGAUUGAGCCAUCCCAACAUCACCUCUUUCUCUAUAAACGUACCAGAAUAAAUGAUCAUAAUCUGAGUUAAUUAUGAUGAGUGGAGCUUGUAUCACGAUGGAGAGAAUUGGCACAAGGGAAGAAGCCAGGAUUAUGAUUUAAUACAAACAGCUGA